AACGAACGCUGGCGGCAGGCUUAACACAUGCAAGUCGAGCGCCCCGCAAGGGGAGCGGCAGACGGGUGAGUAACGCGUGGGAAACUACCCUUUGGUACGGAAUAACACAGAGAAAUUUGUGCUAAUACCGUAUGUGCCCUUCGGGGGAAAGAUUUAUCGCCAUAGGAUGUGCCCGCGUAGGAUUAGCUAGUUGGUGUGGUAAUGGCGCACCAAGGCGACGAUCCUUAGCUGGUCUGAGAGGAUGAUCAGCCACACUGGGACUGAGACACGGCCCAGACUCCUACGGGAGGCAGCAGUGGGGAAUAUUGGACAAUGGGCGCAAGCCUGAUCCAGCCAUGCCGCGUGAGUGAUGAAGGCCUUAGGGUUGUAAAGCUCUUUCACCCACGACGAUAAUGACGGUAGUGGGAGAAGAAGCCCCGGCUAACUUCGUG
rnacentral:rRNA from 1 species